UACGAAGGGGGCUAGCGUUGCUCGGAAUCACUGGGCGUAAAGGGUGCGUAGGCGGGUCUUAAGUCAGGGGUGAAAUCCUGGAGCUCAACUCCAGAAUUGCCUUUGAAACGGGGACGCUUGAGUCCGAGAGAGGGUGGCGGAAUUCCUAGUGUAGAGGUGAAAUUCGUAGAUAUUAGGAAGAACACCAGUGGCGAAGGCGGCCACCUGGCUCGGUACUGACGCUCAGGUUCGAAAGCGUGGGGAGCAAACAGG
rnacentral:rRNA from 1 species